GAGGAAUAUUGGUCAAUGGACGAGAGUCUGAACCAGCCAAAUCGCGUGAAGGAAGACUGCCCUACGGGUUGUAAACUUCUUUUGUACAGGAAUAAAAGACAUUACGUGUAAUGUAUUGCAUGUACUGUACGAAUAAGCAUCGGCUAACUACGUGCCAGCAGCCGCGGUGAUACGUAGGGUGCGAGCGUUGUCCGGAAUUAUUGGGCGUAAAGAGCUUGUAGGCGGUCUGUCGCGUCGGAAGUGAAAACUCAGGGCUCAACCCUGAGCCUGCUUUCGAUACGGGCAGACUUGAGGAAUGUAGGGGAGAACGGAAUUCCUGGUGGAGCGGUGGAAUGCGCAGAUAUCAGGAGGAACACCAGUGGCGAAGGCGGUUCUCUGGGCAUUUCCUGACGCUGAGAAGCGAAAGCGUGGGGAGCAAACA
rnacentral:rRNA from 1 species